AGAUAUUUACCUAAACCUGUGAAAACACCUCUCUGGAUCCUCGAAUUGAAAGAGAGAUUGAGAGGGAUCAAGAAUCCUAAUUCUCGCUAUUUGGAAUGGAUCCAAUUCUAUUGA
rnacentral:rRNA from 1 species